rnacentral:rRNA from 1 species
UACGUAGGGUGCAAGCGUUGUCCGGAACUAUUGGGCGUAAAGAGCGUGUAGGCGGCCCGAUUAGUCCGCUGUGAAAGUCCAGGGCUCAACCCUGGAAUGCCGGUGGAUACUGUCGGGCUAGAGUCCGGAAGGGGCGAGUGGAAUUCCUGGUGUAGCGGUGGAAUGCGUAGAGAUCCGGAAGAACACCGGUGGCGAAGGCGGUCUGCUGGGCAGUUGCUGACGCUGAUGCGCGACAGCGUGGGGAGCAAACAGG